UUCACACACACGUGUUGAGGGGGCUUCUUCCCCAAAUUCCUCACCCGACACUCACAUUUUCCAGAUUCCAAAAGAUACCGAGAAAACCGGAGGAGAGAGAGGGUGGGGGGAGAUCAGAGAAGAGAUGGGAGAGAGACACGAGGUAGGUUGCUGCCACACCUACAGCGGCAGCGAGGGUGGUUAAACCAUCGGAAUCAGGGUCCACCGCACAUGGUGGCGGGGUUUAUGAAUUUCAGCAAUCAAGCGACGUUAGGGUGUGGGUCACCAGCGACGACAUGGGGUUCCGGUGAUGAACCAGGAGCUCUAGUUAAGACUGUGAGAUUAUGGUGCAUGUGGCGAUUUAUUUGCACAAUUAAUCUCUUAUAAUAGGCAAAGGAAAUGAGAAGUGAAUGUGCUGUUGUUGUUGCUGCGUGAUUGGGCCUAUUUGGCGGUGUUAGCAUCAUCAUGGUUCCCAACACCGCCAAACACACAUCCAUAACCUCUUCUUCUCUGUAUUGAAAGAGAGAGAGAGAGAUUGGAGUGAGAUUGACGACAAUGGUGGGAUCCGGUCGAUGACAAAGGGUUUUAGGGUUUGGAGGAGUGUCAGCAAACGAGGAUAACAUAGAUGCUGAUGAUGGUUUUGAUUCUCGAUUUCCAGCCAAAUUAAGGUUCCGGCGAGGUUGGCGGUGGUGCAUCCGGCCAAUUUCUAGGGUUUCUGUGGUUAUCCUAAAAGUCAUACUGAUUGCAUAUCAGUUAUCACACCGCACUAUUCAAACCCACCAACCACCAAAAUCUUCAAAAAUUUCAAUGGAGCUUUAACAAUGGUCUGAUUCAAGGGUGUUUUCUUUGGGUUGUUUGGGCAAACUAGCAGAUAAGGAUGAUAAGUUGCCGGGAGUGUACAAUGGUUACUUGAUUGUUAAAUGUUAAGUUCAGUCUUAUCGCAUUGGAUUUUAGGGGGUUUCGCAACGGCAUUUGCGGCCAUUAUCUUUAUUUGGUCCACAUCGACAUUCUCAUAGAACAAAAAAGGGACAACAUGUGAACACGUGUAAAAUUUCUAAUUUUUUUUUGAACCGCCAACAAACUCAAUCCUAAGCACUUUCGGGGCACCCACUGGACAAACGGAGUACUCCGAGAGUAACCCGAGUCCACCACCAAUUCCAGGGAAAAUCCGGU